UUGUAUCGUCUAAAGGCUUAGCCUCAACCAGAAAGCUGCAAGUCAGCAAGCAGCUGGGAGUAGUUUCACCUCCGGGCUUGGGGUGUUCACAGGAGCAUCAUUUUAUAAAAGUGGGAGAAAGAGGAGUACGUGCGGGCAGUGAUUCUUGAGGACAGGUUCUGAGGCAACCCGCAACAGAAUAUCCCCGCACUGUGGGGGGGAAGGAGGCACCAAGGAGAGGGCGCAGUCUCUGAAUCCUUCGACUUAGUCCCUUAGGGCCUCUAUAGCCACCCACAAGAACCGCCCUUUCUGCCCGCACCUCCUUGCCAGACUGUUGCUUGACUGAGCACUGCGGAGAAACUCCUCGAAACUCCGCCUCUCCUUGCAACCUGUGUUGGCCUAAACUGCCCGGCAACUGUUGACGUCACACACCGAGGCCCUCCCAGAAUGGAAGAGAUUUACUAGACAACCCCGCCCACUACGCUGAAAUUAGCCCGGCAGGUGUCACUUCUGAGCGGGGACUGUGAAGCCUUGAGGCUGCUGAAGGAGGAAGACACCAGACUCCUGAAAAAUUCACUGCAAAAGUUGGUGAGCCAUUUGGUGCGCUGAAAACACGAGAAACCACAGUACAAAACACCAGUUUUAUUAUAAGUACCAAGAAUCCAGAGUGUGUUUAUGGGCCAGCAUAUGACUUUAGUCAUAUUGGAAAGUAGCUCAUCUCCCCCUUUCUGUAUAUUCUAAAGUUCUUCUCAUUUCCAGGGUUCCACACCAAAACCCUGGCUCCGAACCCAGUUACACUAAAGAGUUCUAAACCCCGCUUUCUUC